rnacentral:rRNA from 1 species
UACAGGGGGUGCAAACGUUGCUCGGAAUCAUUGGGCGUAAAGCGCACGUAGGCGGUUCGUUAUGUCGGAUGUGAAAGCCCUUGGCUUAACCGAGGAAGUGCAUCCGAAACUGGCGAGCUAGAGUACUAAAGAGGAUCGCGGAAUUCCCCGGUGUAGAGGUGAAAUUCGUAGAUAUCGGGAGGAACACCGGUGGCGAAGGCGGCGAUCUGGGUAGAUACUGACGCUGAGGUGCGAAAGCGUGGGGAGCAAACAGG